rnacentral:snoRNA from 2 species
UUAGAAUGAUGAUUUCAGAAAAAUGACAAGCAUAUGUCUGACUCUCAAGUGGAGAAAAAUUUUCUUACGUCUGACUAA